GUACACUCCUGCGGGAGGCAGCAGUGGGGAAUUUUGGACAAUGGGCGAAAGCCUGAUCCAGCAAUGCCGCGUGUGUGAAGAAGGCCUUCGGGUUGUAAAGCACUUUUGUCCGGAAAGAAAUCCUUGGCUCUAAUACAGUCGGGGGAUGACGGUACCGGAAGAAUAAGCACCGGCUAACUACGUGCCAGCAGCCGCGGUAAUACGUAGGGUGCGAGCGUUAAUCGGAAUUACUGGGCGUAAAGCGUGCGCAGGCGGUUUGCUAAGACCGAUGUGAAAUCCCCGGGCUCAACCUGGGAACUGCAUUGGUGACUGGCAGGCUAGAGGAUGGCAGAGGGGGGUAGAAUUCCACGUGUAGCAGUGAAAUGCGUAGAGAUGCGGAGGAAUACCGAUGGCGAAGGCAGCCCCCUGGGCCAAUACUGACGCUCAUGCACGAAAGCGUGGGGAGCAAACAGGAUUAGAAACCCGAGUAGUCCC
rnacentral:rRNA from 1 species